AGUGAACGCUGGCGGUAGGCCUAACACAUGCAAGUCGAACGGCAGCACAGUAAGAGCUCGCUCUUACGGGUGGCGAGUGGCGGACGGGUGAGGAAUACAUCGGAAUCUACUUUUUCGUGGGGGAUAACGUAGGGAAACUUACGCUAAUACCGCAUACGACCUACGGUUGAAAGCAGGGGAUCUUCGGACCUUGCGCGAUUGAACGAGCCGAUGUUGGAUUGGCUAGUUGGCGGGGUAAAGGCCAACCAAGUCGGCGAUCCGUAGCUGGUCUGAGAGGAUGGUCAGCCACACUGGAACUGAGACACGGUCAAGACUCCUACGGGAGGCAGCAGUGGGGAAUAUUGGACAAUGGGCGCAAGCCUGAUCCAGCCAUACCGCGUGGGUGAAGAAGGCCUUCGGGUUGUAAAGCCCUUUUGUUGGGAAAGAAAAGCAGCAGGUUAAUACCCCGCUGUUCUGACGGUACCCAAAGAAUAAGCACCGGCUAACUUCGUG
rnacentral:rRNA from 1 species